GGGAUUGUAGCUCAACUGGUUAGAGCACACGCCUGUCACGCGUGAGGUUGCGGGUUCGAGUCCCGUCGGUCCCG
rnacentral:tRNA from 1 species